rnacentral:rRNA from 1 species
GUCUAUGGCCGUACAACCCGAACAUGCCUGAUCUUGUCUGAUCUCACACACUAAGCAGGUUUGGCCAUGGUUAGUAUUUGGAUGGGAGACAGGAUUUCCUUUUAGGGUGAGAGCAGAAGACU